CUAGAACACUUGGGAUCGCGUUCAUACUUUCCUACUCGUCCAUAGUUCGGACGGCGCCAGAAAUAUUAAAAAAUGGAGUCAUUGAGAUCGAUCGCCGUCCGGAUUGGGAUUCAUGAAAUCCUGAAAAUUACAGAAACUGUCAGCCCCGACCAACCAUAGCAGAUGAAGGCCACAGUGACUGGAGAUUGAAAAACGUGCUAUUUGCCGUACAGACCGACGAUACGGUGCUAGAGACUUGGGUAGUUGCUGCAGUGUUGGAAACUUACAUAUCGAUGUCAUAAUGAAAAAAAUUACAUACCUACAACCAUACAUUGAGCAUCUAAUCAUUGCGACCGCAGUUUGUGGUUUUUCGUCGUCAAUGUACUUUCAUAAUGGCAUGUUAACUAAUUAUAAUUUCAUGCUAGAUGACAGUUCAUGGCAAUGAAAACUUCAUCAGAUUAAGAUUAAACCUAUUUAGAUAUUUUUACUAUUUUAAGUUUGUUUUUUAUUGCAUUUUAUGGUUAAUAUAUUUGUAGAAUGAUAUAAUUUUAAACUCAUAUUUCAUAUUUUAGGUGCUAAGCCAAACGAUAACUAUAUUGAUUUUAUAAUAAUGUAUGUUUUUUAAGCAUAGGAAUUUAUAAUGUAGAGAAUUAUAUAUGUUUCUUCAUAUCUUCAUAAUCUAUCACAUUGCAUUUAAUAUAUUAUAAUGUUUUAUGCAUAUAUAUUUUUACAACCAAAUCUGUUACAACA